UUAUAGCAUAACUUUUAUUAACCAUUAAAGAAAUAUAAAUAAAUAGAUUUAUUUCCUACUUAUUUAAUUAUUACUUGUCGUGUAUGGAUUUCCCAUUUGCUGCAAUUUUUUAAUUUUAGUAUCUACCUUUUGUGCUACACCUGUUCUUUCUACGUGUGCUACGCCUGUUACAUCUUCAGCUGCCAUGUCAAUUCCAUCUGUACCACCUUCAAACGGUUGGUGGGUUAAAUAUGAUCAUUUAAAUGAGAAAAUAUAUACUAGUGCAACUUGUAAUCUGGGUGUUAUAACAUCAUAACCACAUCUAUGGCCAACUCUAAGAUCACCUUAUUUUGUUUGGCAGUGUUUUGGAAUCAAGUUAUGGCAAUAUUUUGUGUAUAAAAUAUAACAAUAACAUUUAAAAAGUGCUUAUUUCUGA
rnacentral:lncRNA from 1 species